GAUGAACGCUAGCGGCAGGCUUAACACAUGCAAGUCGAGGGGUAUAUGGGGGCUUGCCCCCAUGGAGACCGGCAAACGGGUGCGGAACACGUACACAACCUACCCUUGUCUGGGGAAUAGCCUUCGGAAACGGAGAUUAAUACCCCAUAGUAUAUCGGAGUGGCAUCACUUAGAUAUUAAAGAUUCAUCGGACAGGGAUG
rnacentral:rRNA from 1 species